AUGUAUAAAUGGCUGGAGAGCCCCCUUAGCGGGUGCCAUUAUAGAUGGAUCUGGAGAGCUAAACUGCCUCUCAAGAUUAAAAUCUUCCUAUGGCAAGUGUCACAGGAUGCAGUUCUUACUAGGCAAGUGAUGCGUAGGAAAAAUUGGCCAGGCAAUCCUAGUUGCUCUUUCUGCAGUGAUGCUGAGAGCUCUUAGCACCUAUUCUUCGCUUGCCCUGUUGCUAAGUGUGUUUGGCGCUCCAUUGGGGUGACGCUGGGGACUGACAAAUGCCCCAACAAUUACUGGCAGUUUUUUGCUUGGUGCUAUGCUUUUUGCCCUGGUGGCGAGAAGUUCUAUACGGUGGGGCUUGCGUCUGCUUGCUGGGCAAUUUGGCUUGCCCAUAACCGUGCAACUUUUGAGAAGAAGCUGAUCAAAAACCUUUUGAGAUAG
rnacentral:rRNA from 1 species